rnacentral:lncRNA from 1 species
UUUAUUAAGUAGAAAAAUAAUUGGAGAUCAUGGAUAAAAAAUACGUGAAAAAAUUCAAUUUAGAAAGCAUGAAAGAUUAAUUGAAUUUGAAAGCAAUUAGGCAUACAUGCAUGUGGAAUUCAAGCUGAGGAAAACCGAAGCCAAUAAAUUAAUUCAUCCAUGCACAUGCAGACAAAGAAGCUCAUAGCCAUCAGGUGGAGAUUAAAGAAGAAAUUGAAUUUAAUUCAAUUUGGCGGCUUCACCUUUUUGCCUCGUAACAACUGGAAUAAAAAAUCUUAAAGGAUUUAACUAUAGAGGCGGCUGCUUGGCUUACAAGAAUUACAAUUCAAUUUUGACAAGGAUUCGGCCAAGUAGCAUUCCAUAAAUAGAAGCCAAAGAGGUAGAUCGCGGAAGACAGAGAGGGAGAGCAGCGGCAGCAGCAAUCCAAUUUUCCUGUGUCUGAUCUUAUUUCAUUUAUUUUUUAUUACUCCUUAUUUAAGUAUAUCUAACUAACUUUUUUAUAUGAGACUAAGGAUGAAAACUCAUUCAAUAAAAUAAUUAUUUACUAAGUUUCCCAUUCUGUAA